rnacentral:tRNA from 5 species
AGGGGUAUAGCCAAGCUGGCCUAAGGCACCGGAUUUUGAUUCCGGCAUUCGAAGGUUCGAAUCCUUCUACCCCUGCCA